GUGAACAAUUAAGGGCGCGCGGUGGAUGCCUAGGCUCUCGGAGGCGAAGAAGGACGCGAUAAGCCGCGAUAGUCCACGGCGAGGUGCAAGUAACCCUUGACCCGUGGGUUUCCGAAUGGGGCAACCCGGCCGUCUAGAUGACGGUCAUGCAUUAUCAUGCAGGCGAACGCGGGGAACUGAAACAUCUCAUUACCCGCAGGAGAAGAAAACAAAAUGUGAUUCCCCCAGUAGUGGCGAGCGAACGGGGAAGAGCCCAAACCGGUAGCGUUUCGGCGAUACCGGGGUCAUGGGACCACGCCAUUCGAAACAAGAUGAAGUGCAAUUACCUGGAAAGGUAAGCCGCGGAGGGUGAUAGCCCCGUGCACGUCAAUUCUUGUGGAGAUAGUGGAAUCCCGAGUAGGGCGGGACACGAGAAAUCCUGCCUGAAUUCGCCAGGACCUCCUGGCAAGGCUAAAUACUCCCGAGAGACCGAUAGUGAACCAGUACCGCGAGGGAAAGGUGAAAAGUACCCCGAGCAGGGGGGUGAAAUAGACCCUGAACCCGCGCGCCUACAAGCGGUCGGAGCUGCCUUGUGCAGUGACGGCGUGCCUUUUGCAUAAUGAGCCUACGAGUUAGUCGUCACCAGCGAGGUUAAGGGCUUCAGGCCCGAUAGCCGAAGUGAAAGCGAGCCUUAACAGGGCGUUAAGUUGGUGGCGCUAGACGCGAAACCUUGUGAUCUACCCACGAGCAGGUUGAAGUCGCGGUAACACGUGAUGGAGGACCGAACCGGUAAACGUUGAAAAGUUUUCGGAUGACUCGCGGGUAGGGGUGAAAGGCCAAUCAAACUGGGAAAUAGCUCGUACUCUCCGAAAUGCAUUUCGGUGCAGCCUGUGAUGUUCUGUUCCAGAGGUAGAGCUACUGGUUGGACGCGAGGGCUUCACCGCCUAUCAAAUCCGGAUAAACUCCGAAUGCUGGAACACGAAAUCAUGGAGUGAGCCCGCGGGUGCUAAGGUCCGCGGACGAGAGGGAAAGAACCCGGACCACCGGCUAAGGUCCCGGAUGGACAGUUAAGUUGAUCAAACGAGGUGGGAUCGCGGAGACAGCUAGGAUGUUGGCUUGGAAGCAGCCAUUCAUUUAAAGAGUGCGUAACAGCUCACUAGUCGAGCGAUCCCGCGUGGAUAAUACACGGGCAUUAAACUGUCAACCGAAGCCGUGGGGUCAGCGAAAAGCUGACCGGUAGGAGAGCAUUCCUGCCAGCGUUGAAGGUCACCCGCGAGAGUGACUGGAGCGGCAUGAAAAGCAAAUGUAGGCAUAAGUAACGAUAAUGGGGGCGAGAACCCCCCACGCCGCAAGACCAAGGCUUCCCCGGCAAUGUCAAUCAGCCGGGGGUCAGCCGGCCUCUAAGGCUAACCCGAAGGGGGAUGCCGACGAGAAACGGGUUAACAUUCCCGUGCUUCUCGUCACCGUGACGCGGUGACGGGGUGAUGAAUGGACCGCGCGCUGACGGAAUAGCGCGUUGAAGGCCGUACCCUUCGAGGGUGGUAGUCAAGCACGCCACCCGAGGCGAUAGCCGAUAGUACCACGAGACUCCGGUCGAGUGGAUAGCGUCCAGGCAAUUUACCCCCGAGAAAACCCGCUAAACUUCAAGUGACGAGGAACCGUACUGUAAACGGACACACGUGGUCGGGUAGAACAUACCAAGGCGCUCGAGUGAUUCAUGGUCAAGGAACUAGGCAAAAUAGUCCUGUAACUUCGGGAAAAAGGACGCUCUAGUGAUAGAGCCGCAGAGUAAUGGCCCAGGCGACUGUUUACCAAAAACACAUGGCUAUGCCAAAUCGAAAGAUGACGUAUAUGGCCUGACACCUGCCCGGUGCCGGAAGGUUAAGAGGAGAGCUCAUCGGAAACGAGAAGGUUUGAAUUGAAGCCCCGGUAAACGGCGGCCGUAACUAUAACGGUCCUAAGGUAGCGAAAUUCCUUGUCGGGU
rnacentral:rRNA from 1 species